GUAAGGGAUAUUGCGCGAAUGGACGAAAGUCUGACGCAGCAACGCCGCGUGCGGGAUGAAGGCCUUCGGGUCGUAAACCGCUUUUCGAGGUGAAGAGCGAGGACGGUAACCUCGGAAUAAGUCUCGGCUAACUACGUGCCAGCAGCCGCGGUAAAACGUAGGAGGCGAGCGUUAUCCGGAUUUACUGGGUGUAAAGCGCGUGCAGGCGGUCCUGCAAGUUCGGUGUGAAAGCGCCUGGCUCAACCGGGCGAGGACGCCGAAAACUGCGGGACUGGAGGCAGGGAGAGGUCUAUGGAAUUCCGGGUGUAGUGGUGAAAUGCGUAGAGAUCCGGAGGAACACCAGUGGCGAAGGCGGUAGACUGGCCCUGACCUGACGCUCAGACGCGAAAGCACGGGGAGCGAACGGGAUUAGAAACCCUAGUAGUCC
rnacentral:rRNA from 1 species